rnacentral:rRNA from 1 species
UGGGCGUAGAGGGCUCGCAGGCGGUUUCUUAAGUCUGAUGUGAAAGCCCCCGGCUCAACCGGGGAGGGUCAUUGGAAACUGGGGAACUUGAGUGCAGAAGAGGAGAGUGGAAUUCCACGUGUAGCGGUGAAAUGCGUAGAGAUGUGGAGGAACACCAGUGGCGAAGGCGACUCUCUGGUCUGUAACUGACGCUGAGGAGCGAAAGCGUGGGGAGCGAACAGGAUUAGAUACCCUGGUAGUCCACGCCGUAAACGAUGAGUGCUAAGUGUUAGGGGGUUUCCGCCCCUUAGUGCUGCAGCUAACGCAUUAAGCACUCCGCCUGGGGAGUACGGUCGCAAGACUGAAACUCAAAGGAAUUGACGGGGGCCCGCACAAGCGGUGGAGCAUGUGGUUUAAUUCGAAGCAACGCGAAGAACCUUACCAGGUCUUGACGUCCUCUGACAAUCCUAGAGAUAGGACGUCCCCUUCGGCGGCAGAGUGACAGGUGUUGCAUGGUUGUCGUCAGCUCGUGUCGUGAGAU